GCACGAUGCCUUUACAGGUGCUCAGAGCUGGGGGCUUGGGGGCCCGGGCACUGCGAGGGCAGCGCUGCCCACCCUGCCAGGGCCCAGCUCGGGCAGGGCUGUGGAUGUGUCCCCCAGGCCAGGGCCCUGAGCUGAUGCCCUGCAGAAGCGCUGGAGUCCCCGUGGUUCUGCUCACCCUGCCUCUGGUGAGGACAGGAGGUGUCCCUGGGGGUGGCUCAGGGACAUGUGCCCCGUGGGAUUUACAGGAGCCAGGGGCUCUGUGGGUGCCUCUGCUGCUGCUGGCGAGCUGGGCUGGGACAGGGGAGGCUCCUUCAGCCGCGGGCACCGUGCCGGGCACUGGGGCAGGCCCUGGCUGGAAGGUGGCUCUGGGCUCUGCUGUCCCCUGCCCCACGAUGGGAGCCCAUCCCUGCUCCACUGCAGGCACCUGGGAGAGCCCCUCCCUGUCCCUGCCCCUCAGCAGGGCUAACGGGAGCUGUGCCACCGCCAGGCUCAGGCAGGUUUGUCACUUGUCACCAACGAGCACACCCAGGGGCUGAGCGGCCGCUAAUUGCAACUGCUCACAAUUGGGAAUUCCUGUGGGUUAGGCACGGUACCUGCACUAACAGGGAUUUCACUUUCAAAAAUCCAUGGCUACCGAGGGCAGCAGAGGAGGAGCAGCUGCAGUGCCCUGCUGGCACUGGGAGCAGCCAGUGGCACCACAGGGGCCAGACCUUCAUCACCUCCUCAUCACCUCCUGAGAAAUGCGGUACCCGGCCUGCGGCUGGGGGGAUGCCAGGGCUGCUGAGGGCUCCAGGUACCUGCGGGUGUUGGCUCAGGUGUGUUGUGUCUCAGGAGGGCUCGGGGCUCACUCAGGACCCUUUGCAGUGGCACUGGUGGUGGCAGGGCCCAGCUCCCCUUGGCAGCAGCGUGGGGAUGCCCCUUGUGCAGGACAUCAUCAGCUCCCCACAGCUCCCCUUGGCAGCAUUCCCACCUUCCCACUAAUCCUUGUCAUCCCAAAUCCUAUCAGCACUGAUUUGAUAUUUACCUCCAAAUCGUGGAUGAACAUGUUGAACAUCAUCAUCUGAUGAUGAUUCCCCAUUGACAACUGCUUUUUGAGACCUGUCAGUCAGCCAAUUCUUAAUCCUUCUAAUGUGAGCUCUAUUGAUAUUAUAUACAGCUAAUUUUUUAAUCAAAACGUCAUGUGCUAUUAAAUCAAAUGCCGAAGAGAAGCCAAAGCACACUACUGCUCCUCAGUUACUUUUAUUAGAUAAACUUUUAAAUUCAAGGAAUGAAACCAAAUUUUUUGACAAGCCCGGCUUCCCAUCCAGCCACGUUGCCGGCUCUGCUUUCAGCCCCCCUGCUGCCUCCUGCAGCCGCUCCAGCUCCUGAGCUUUUCCCGGGAUGGACACGACCGGAGGGUUCCGCAUCCCAACAUUAUAAAUUUGAUAUUCCAGUCAAUGAUUGUCAGCGCUGGCGGAGGACACGGAAGCUGGCACAGGAGGUGGAUGCUGUGUGUGGUGUGGGGCUGGUGCCCACUGCAGACGAUGGCAUGGAUCCACCCAGGCCUCUGGUGCCAGGUGUGAUGCUGGCAUUCCCAGCUCCCCUCCCCUGUGCAGGCACAGGGAUGCUGCUCCUGGGAUGCUGCCCAAACCCGGCUGGGUGUGUGGGGUCCCCCUGCCCGGCGCCCCCACGGGAGGGCCCCUCCUGCUAAUUGGAGUGUGCUGAGGAGGAUCUGAGCUCUGCCUGCCUUGACACUGAGACCCAAACCUGCUGUAGAACCAAAUGGAUACACACACCCACAUCCACCAGGCUUUUAGUUCAGCAACAAGUGAAUCCAUCAAAGCCCAGCACCUAAUUUAAUAGCAAUAAUGAAAGGUGUGCGUCACUAUUAAUUUAAGCACUCCAACAUUAGCCUUGCACUUAGAAACCAGCAAGGCAAAGCUAUUUACAAAUGAAUGUACCAGGGCAAUAAAUUGAAAGGACUGGU